rnacentral:rRNA from 1 species
GAGUUUGAUCAUGGCUCAGGAUGAACGCUGGCGGCGUGCCUAAUACAUGCAAGUCGAGCGAACUGAUUAGAAGCUUGCUUCUAUGACGUUAGCGGCGGACGGGUGAGUAACACGUGGGCAACCUGCCUGUAAGACUGGGAUAACUUCGGGAAACCGAAGCUAAUACCGGAUAGGAUCUUCUCCUUCAUGGGAGAUGAUUGAAAGAUGGUUUCGGCUAUCACUUACAGAUGGGCCCGCGGUGCAUUAGCUAGUUGGUGAGGUAACGGCUCACCAAGGCAACGAUGCAUAGCCGACCUGAGAGGGUGAUCGGCCACACUGGGACUGAGACACGGCCCAGACUCCUACGGGAGGCAGCAGUAGGGAAUCUUCCGCAAUGGACGAAAGUCUGACGGAGCAACGCCGCGUGAGUGAUGAAGGCUUUCGGGUCGUAAAACUCUGUUGUUAGGGAAGAACAAGUACGAGAGUAACUGCUCGUACCUUGACGGUACCUAACCAGAAAGCCACGGCUAACUAC